AAAACCAUGUCCAGCAUUGGCAAACUCAUGAAACAAGCUGCGCGGAUGCAGCAGCAGAUGGAACAAAUCCAGGCCCAACUCGCGGCACGCACCGUCGAAGCCACCAGCGGCGGGGGCGCGGUGAAGGUUGUGGCGAAAUGCGACGGCUCCAUUGCCUCCAUUAAAAUUGACCCGCAAACCCUCAACUCCGCUGACGCUCAAUUGCUGGAGGACAUGAUCCUGACCGCUGCGAAUCAGGCGUUGUCACAAGCCAAAGAAAUUUCCAACACGGAAAUGGGCAAGGUGACUUCUGGACUUAAUCUUCCUGGAUUGACCUAAUUCGCCUGUUUCCCGUUCUUGUGGCUUCACUUCCUGAACCGAUCACUAUGCUGAUUGCCGCGUUGAACAAGUUG
rnacentral:misc_RNA from 1 species